UACGGAGGGUGCAAGCGUUAUCCGGAUUCACUGGGUUUAAAGGGUGCGUAGGUGGGUUGGUAAGUCAGUGGUGAAAUCUCCGAGCUUAACUUGGAAACUGCCAUUGAUACUAUCAGUCUUGAAUAUUGUGGAGGUCAGCGGAAUAUGUCAUGUAGCGGCGAAAUGCUUAGAUAUGACAUAGAACACCAAUUGCGAAGGCAGCUGGCUACACAUAUAUUGACACUGAGGCACGAAAGCGUGGGGAUCAAACAGG
rnacentral:rRNA from 1 species